rnacentral:lncRNA from 1 species
GCAAUUCAGCGACAUCUUUUAAAAUAGCUCUUUUUAUAGGGUAAGGUUUUUGUCUGAAAACAAUUUCUUAUACAAAGAUUUAAAAAAAAUGCUACAGAUAGUGUUAAUUUAUGUUUUACUGUAAGCUGUAUUUGCAAAUUUAGAAUACUUUUUUUUUUUUUUUUUUUUUCUGCUCUCUUGAGAAUCCAAGCCAUACUCCAUGCAGAGAAACACUGGAGCAGCAGAAAUUUUGAGAAGUAUUUUUCCUUUUGUCAGUGAUAAAGCAUAAAAUUCAUGCUUUCUUCAUGCUGAAGAGAUGCAGUUUUCUGGAUGCUUCCCAAAUUGUCCAUGUGAUAUUCUCGUUGGUUGCAUUUGAACUAAAACUAGCUGUCCUUGUAGAAUUGUUAACCUCAUCUAAUGUGAGACUUUGGACUUCAAAUAUAUUAUUCUCCCUUAUUGUUUCACUACUAUCUUCUUGAACAUCAGCGUAUGGCGCACCUGGAUAUUUCUUUUACAUUAACCCUAUACAUUUAUCUUUAUAUGGCCAACCAUGCUGGAAGUACGUUCAUUCUAUCCAGAGACUACUGAGACCACUAGUUUUACUUCCUUCCAAAAUUUGUAUCAAUGAAAUCAGAAUGAUUUUAGCAGCCUUUUUAUGAAUAAAUUUUGUAGACAGAUUAUAAGCUAAAUGAAACUUAGUUUUGUCUAAAAAAGUUACAAUUUUUUCCCUUGUCGCUAUGAAAAAUGUUGGAACGCUAGAUAAGAAGUAUAUAUAUUGAGUUUCAGCAAAACUUGAUUAUUUUCUGUUUAUUUUCUAAGAUCAGAUAUAGGACUCAAAAAUGUGUUGUAUAAAGAAUACAUCCGGAGUUAAAGAUAAGAAGAAUGAGUCAGAGAUGUGGGCAUAGCCUGGGGAAUUUUGAACAUUGUUGUGCAAUGAUUUUUAGAAUUCAUAGUAUUUGGAUUAAGACACACAAAGAAAAACCAUGAGGAUAAAAGGCUGAAUUUUUGUCUGAAAUUUUUAAUAUAGUUAAUAUAGUAAAAUUAUUUACUAUAAAUUAGUAAAAAGUAAAGUAUAAAAAGUAAAAUUAUUUACUAUAUUAACUAAUUUAUUAUACUUUAUUUACUAUAUUAACUAUAUUAUUUACUAAAAAUUAUUUACUAUAUAAGUAGAACAGCAAAUAGUCCAGAAUCUGCUACUUCACUAAGAUAAAUUAAAAGGGUUGAGAUUUCAGAGGGAUUUCAUAUCUGUGGGAAAAACAGAGUAUCCAGCAAGUGACAGUA